GUGAGGAAUAUUGGACAAUGGGCGCAAGCCUGAUCCAGCCAUGCCGCGUGCAGGAAGACGCAUCUAUGGUGUGUAAACUGCUUUUGUACGGGAAGAAACACUCCCUCGUGAGGGAGCUUGACGGUACCGUAAGAAUAAGGAUCGGCUAACUCCGUGCCAGCAGCCGCGGUAAUACGGAGGAUCCAAGCGUUAUCCGGAAUCAUUGGGUUUAAAGGGUCCGUAGGCGGUUUAAUAAGUCAGUGGUGAAAGCCCAUCGCUCAACGAUGGAACGGCCAUUGAUACUGUUAGACGUGAAUUACAAGGAAGUAACUAGAAUAUGUAGUGUAGCGGUGAAAUGCUUAGAUAUUACAUGGAAUACCAAUUGCGAAGGCAGGUUACUACUUGUGGAUUGACGCUGAUGGACGAAAGCGUGGGGAGCGAACAGGAUUAGAAACCCCUGUAGUCC
rnacentral:rRNA from 1 species